ACUCCUACGGGAGGCAGCAGUGGGGAAUAUUGCACAAUGGGGGAAACCCUGAUGCAGCCAUGCCGCGUGUGUGAAGAAGGCCUUCGGGUUGUAAAGCACUUUCAGUAGGGAGGAAGGUAGUGUAGUUAACACCUGCAUUAUUUGACGUUACCUACAGAAGAAGCACCGGCUAACUCCGUGCCAGCAGCCGCGGUAAUACGGAGGGUGCGAGCGUUAAUCGGAAUUACUGGGCGUAAAGCGCAUGCAGGCGGCCUGUUAAGUCAGAUGUGAAAGCCCGGGGCUUAACCUCGGAAUUGCAUUUGAAACUGGCAGGCUAGAGUCUUGUAGAGGGGGGUAGAAUUUCAGGUGUAGCGGUGAAAUGCGUAGAGAUCUGAAGGAAUACCAGUGGCGAAGGCGGCCCCCUGGACAAAGACUGACGCUCAGAUGCGAAAGCGUGGGGGAGCAAACAGGAUUAGAUACCCCUGUAGCACAGAG
rnacentral:rRNA from 1 species